UGAGUUUGAUCCUGGCUCAGGACGAACGCUGGCGGCGUGCUUAACACAUGCAAGUCGAACGGAAAGGCCCUGCUUUUGUGGGGUGCUCGAGUGGCGAACGGGUGAGUAACACGUGAGUAACCUGCCCUUGACUUUGGGAUAACUUCAGGAAACUGGGGCUAAUACCGGAUAGGAGCUCCUGCUGCAUGGUGGGGGUUGGAAAGUUUCGGCGGUUGGGGAUGGACUCGCGGCUUAUCAGCUUGUUGGUGGGGUAGUGGCUUACCAAGGCUUUGACGGGUAGCCGGCCUGAGAGGGUGACCGGCCACAUUGGGACUGAGAUACGGCCCAGACUCCUACGGGAGGCAGCAGUGGGGAAUAUUGCACAAUGGGCGGAAGCCUGAUGCAGCAACGCCGCGUGCGGGAUGACGGCCUUCGGGUUGUAAACCGCUUUCGCCUGUGACGAAGCGUGAGUGACGGUAAUGGGUAAAGAAGCACCGGCUAACUACGUGCCAGCAGCCGCGGUGAUACGUAGGGUGCGAGCGUUGUCCGGAUUUAUUGGGCGUAAAGGGCUCGUAGGUGGUUGAUCGCGUCGGAAGUGUAAUCUUGGGGCUUAACCCUGAGCGUGCUUUCGAUACGGGUUGACUUGAGGAAGGUAGGGGAGAAUGGAAUUCCUGGUGGAGCGGUGGAAUGCGCAGAUAUCAGGAGGAACACCAGUGGCGAAGGCGGUUCUCUGGGCCUUUCCUGACGCUGAGGAGCGAAAGCGUGGGGAGCGAACAGGCUUAGAUACCCUGGUAGUCCACGCUGUAAACGGUGGGUACUAGGUGUGGGGUCCAUUCCACGGGUUCCGUGCCGNAGCUAACGCUUNAAGUACCCCGCCUGGGGAGUACGGCCGCAAGGCUAAAACUCAAAGGAAUUGACGGGGACCCGCACAAGCGGUGGAGCAUGUGGUUUAAUUCGAAGCAACGCGAAGAACCUUACCAAAUCUUGACAUCCUCUGAUCCCUCUAGAGAUAGAGUUUUCCCCUUCGGGGGACAGAGUGACAGGUGGUGCAUGGUUGUCGUCAGCUCGUGUCGUGAGAUGUUGGGUUAAGUCCCGCAACGAGCGCAACCCUUAAGCUUAGUUGCCAUCAUUAAGUUGGGCACUCUAAGUUGACUGCCGGUGACAAACCGGAGGAAGGUGGGGAUGACGUCAAAUCAUCAUGCCCCUUAUGAUUUGGGCUACACACGUGCUACAAUGGACAAUACAAAGGGUAGCGAAACCGCGAGGUCAAGCAAAUCCCAUAAAGUUGUUCUCAGUUCGGAUUGUAGUCUGCAACUCGACUAUAUGAAGCUGGAAUCGCUAGUAAUCGUAGAUCAGCAUGCUACGGUGAAUACGUUCCCGGGUCUUGUACACACCGCCCGUCACACCACGAGAGUUUGUAACACCCGAAGCCGGUGGAGUAACCAUUGGAGCUAGCCGUCGAAGGUGGACAAAUGA
rnacentral:rRNA from 1 species